AAGGAAAGCUGGAGGCAGGCCUAACACAUGCGAGUCGAGCGGAUGAAGGGAGCUUGCUCCUGGAUUCAGCGGCGGACGGGUGAGUAAUGCCUAGGAAUCUGCCUGGUAGUGGGGGAUAACGUCCGGAAACGGGCGCUAAUACCGCAUACGUCCUGAGGGAGAAAGUGGGGGAUCUUCGGACCUCACGCUAUCAGAUGAGCCUAGGUCGGAUUAGCUAGUUGGUGGGGUAAAGGCCUACCAAGGCGACGAUCCGUAACUGGUCUGAGAGGAUGAUCAGUCACACUGGAACUGAGACACGGUCCAGACUCCUACGGGAGGCAGCAGUGGGGAAUAUUGGACAAUGGGCGAAAGCCUGAUCCAGCCAUGCCGCGUGUGUGAAGAAGGUCUUCGGAUUGUAAAGCACUUUAGGUUGGGAGGAAGGGCAGUAAGUUAAUACCUUGCUGUUUUGACGUUACCAACAGAAUAAGCACCGGCUAACUUCGUG
rnacentral:rRNA from 1 species